rnacentral:rRNA from 1 species
GUGUCAGCAGCCGCGGUAAGACGAACCGUCCUAACGUUAUUCGGAAUCACUGGGCUUAAAGGGCGCGUAGGCGGACGAGCAAGUCCGGAGUGAAAUCCUCCGGCUUAACCGGAGAAGUGCUUUGGAUACUGCUCGUCUUGAGGGAGGUAGGGGCAUGUGGAACUUCUGGUGGAGCGGUGAAAUGCGUUGAUAUCAGAAGGAACGCCGGUGGCGAAAGCGACGUGCUGGCCCUCUUCUGACGCUGAGGCGCGAAAGCUAGGGGAGCAAACGGGAUUAGAAACCCUAGUAGUCC